rnacentral:rRNA from 1 species
AUUGAACGCUGGCGGCAGGCCUAACACAUGCAAGUCGAACGAGUGGCGGACGGGUGAGUAAUGUCUGGGAAACUGCCCGAUGGAGGGGGAUAACUACUGGAAACGGUAGCUAAUACCGCAUACCAUCGGAUGUGCCCAGAUGGGAUUAGAUUGUAGGUUAGGUAACGGCUCACCGAGGCGACGAUCCCUAGCUGGUCUGAGAGGAUGACGAGCAGCUGUGGAACUGAGACAAGGUCCAGACUCCUACGGGAGGCAGCAGUGGGGAAUAUGGCACAAUGGGCGCAAGCCUGAUGCAGCCAUGCCGCGUGUAUGAAGAAGGCCUUCGGGUUGUAAAGUACUGUCAGCGGGGAGGCGUUACCCGCAGAAGAAGCAACGGCUAACGCCGUGCCAGCAGCCUCGGUAAUUC